rnacentral:lncRNA from 1 species
GGAAGCACACCCAUUACCAGGGGUGAAAGGCAAUGACAGAUCUGCUGGGCAGCUUUCCACCGCUCCCAGAUCCUUAACCCACCACUCGGCUAGGGAUCAAACCCGAGUCCUCAUGGAUACUAGUGGGGUUGAUAACCUGCUGAGCCACAGUGGGAGCUCCUGGAGGCAGUUUUUCCCAAUGGGUGCAGGAGCUGGUGCAGAGGCUGUGCAUGUGGGGGUCGGCCCCAGGGGAUCCCGCAAACCAUGUUCAUCCUUGCCCUUGCCUAGAGGUCAGCUCUGCUACAUAGGGGCCAGAGGAGCAGGUAGUGGGGUGCUUAAGCAGGGUCCACCUUCGACUCGGGCAUCCCCUGGCCUAUAGCGGGGCAAUGGAAGGAGGGGGGAUUGGCGAGAUGGGGGCUGGGAGCCCGUGGGGGUGAAGGGUUUGGGGUGAUGGAAGCUUGCACGAGGAGAUGAUGCUUUUGAAGCUUGUUUUUGCUUCUUCACACAUUUCCUGGCCCUAGAAGCCAGCUUGGGCCUCUGAGAUUUGGUGUCUCCUCUGCCAUCUGGGGGAAGGGGCCUCUGUUUUGUAGGGUGGGUGGGAAAUUGUGACCAGAAAUAGUGCUGCUUGUAGGAAGCUGACAAAGAAGGCUGAUCCUUCCCUCUUUUCUGAGCUGUUCUCUGUUGCAGGGAAAUAGCGGUCAGCUUGACACCCCAUGAAGCCUGUACCGGUGGCACUGGCAAAAUUAAAUGACUUCCUGAUGAUAGUAAUUAGAUUAGUAACUAAUAAUCAGAACCAACAUUCGUCUAGUUCUUAUUAAGUCCUGGGCAAUGUGAAUCAGGCCUCCUCUAUUCUAUGAUUUAAUUCCCACAGUCAUCCUAGGCUUGCAGUGCUAUAAUUAGCCCCAUUUUACAGAUGAGAGAAACAAGAUCAGAGAGGCCGAGUGUAGUUUCUGAGGUCACACAGCUAAAAGUGGCUGCCAGGGCCUGUGCUGUGAACCCCUGUACAAGGGAGCAGACAGACUCUGUGUGUGCGGAGGGCGGUAGAGGUCACGGGAAGGCUUUCCCGUGCUAGCGGAUUGGUGGGGCAAGCUUGCUUGCAGGAGCUGUGACAAAGGCACCGCCAUCGAGGAUUCUGGAAGGGACGGGGAUGUGGGCUUUACUCGGCCUCCUGCAGUUUGUCAGUCCCAGGGCCUGCGCGCGGAGGUCUGGGGCAGGCUGGGCCCACGGGCCCCCAUCUGCUCCUGCACCUGCCCUGGACCGUGAAGGAUGCAGAGGAGGCCCAACAGGCAGGACUCCCGGAACCCCCUGACCUCCGCCUUCGGUCUCCGCCUCUGCCCAUGUCUUCUGCGGGACUUCUCCAGAGCUAUGGUUGGUGGCCAUGGACCUUUGUUCUGGACAUGGCUUUUUCCAGGCCCAUGUCAGUUGUGUGGAUUGAGCACAUCUGUAUGGGGAGCUCCCUCCCCGGGGAAUACUGCCUCCUGCCUGCAGUGCUCCUGACCCGCCCAUCAGAGCAGAGUGGCCGCUGCCUCGGCGUCCAGGCUUGACCGGCUGGCCUGGCAAUGCUCCUCGGGGCUGGGUCCCGGGGUCGUGAACCAUGAACGGGACCACUGCAGGGGCUGUGAAGUGUAACGCUCGAGUCCCUUGGGGGGGGACUCUGGUCACUGCGAGCCAGGCGCUGCUUAGGGCGCCUUAUUUCUGGCCAUCUGACAACCCCUGUGUGGUCAUUGUUUUACAGACGAGGAGACCGAGGCCUUAGGGAGGUGAAGGAACUUGCCCCAAGGCAGAGCCCUGAGGCCAGAGCUGAGCCUCAGCCGCUUGUGAGCAGGGGUCAGGGCUUCGGGGUGGCCGGGGUGGGGGGGGGCACGUCUUGGCUUCUUUCACGUCUCAGAUUCUUCUUAUCUUAGGCAGAGACAGAAAGCGAGGCUUUCCUUUCCAUAAACUGUUUUAACCGAACCUCACUGCAGAUCCCUGGGCGGUGCUGGUUUCACUCUGGAUAAAGAAUGGGUGGGGCUCAAUGCGGAUGGUUGGAAGGGGGCAGGGGUGCCGCCAGCCUUUGGAGGAGACCGGGAUCAGACGCCUCUAGUGGGGUGAGCCCUGGGCCCGUGGCCAUCUCUUCACUGCCUUGAAGGGGAGUCUCUUUCCUCAGAUGACACCUGUUUUAAAAUUCGGCUCCCCCCCCGCCACCGUUCAGUGCAGGGACCUAUGUCCAGUCUCUUGGGGUAGAGCAUGAAGUGGAAGAUGGCAUGAGAAAAGGCAUGUAUAUCUUUGUGUGGCUGGGUCGCUCUGCUGUACAGCGGAAAUUGACACAACACUGUAUGUACAUCAACUAUAUGCUAAGAAAAAAAACUCUGCGACUCAGCAGUUUGAGCAUUUGGAGCUGGGUCUCAGCUCACUGUGCAGAAAUCUAUACUAAACACAUAGACAGUUUAGGAAGAAAGAUUGUUUUUCUGAAGGGUAUAUAAUUGUCAGAGCUGAAUUGGGCAGCACUUCCUGGGGCUCUCCACGUGUGUUGAUCCAUGACGCGGACACAGCUUCCCUAAAGAUCGCUGAUAUAUCACCACUCCCGUUUUACACAUGAAGAACCUGAGGCUCGGGGGAUUAGGUUAUCUGCCAUGGAUGGAUCCCUCAGCCAGUAGGUGGCCCAGGGGGGAUUUGAACCCAGGGAGAGGCUGCAGAGCUCUCACAGGUAGCAGUGCUGCCCCGCGUUAUCUCACAGCUGCCCCGGUGGGGACACCGCAUUAUCCCCAUGAGGAAGGGAGGGCUCUGAGCAGUAAAGGAAUUUGCCAGAAUUCAGCAUGUUGUAGAUGGCGGCAUUAGGAUUGAGCCCAGAUCCACUGGCUCCAAGUACAGGGUCGCUCUCAUGUCCUCCUCUCCCUUCCUUGGUAACUUGCAGCCUCAACCCAAGUUACCUGGUCCUGCUGUCCUUUAGGUGCUGAUGUCUGUGGAGUGCCCAUGCUCCACUGGUUUGGAGUGGGUGGUCUCCCCGGCCUUCUCUCUGCCAGCUGUGAGCCCCUUGGGGUCAAGCAUGGUGUCGGUUUUGCCUUUGCUCCCAGCACCUCAUGCUUAAGCCAGGAUUCCCUCUGCAUGUAGGAUGAUCAGAAAACAUGGUCCAUGAAGCUAGGCCCGGUGUGUGCCCUUUGGCGUCAAGGGUGUCAAGGUGAAGGCUGGGCCAUGUGUGACCGUGGCCAGUUCCACCGCUUUGGUGAAGGUGUUUCCACGGGGCAUGGUGGCCUGAGGGUCAGUCUGCCCCAUGGGUGGUCUGUGCUCCGUGCCAGGUGUUUGCAGGUUCUGGGCCUCAGAAAGCUGUCCGGCCUGGAAGCAUUUCCUUCUGCCUGGCCUAACAUGUCCUUCUGUAUCUCCACCGUGGAGUGGGAGCCAGAGGGCGACCGAUGCCGACAUCACGUUCUCAGCCACUCCAAGCAACGUGAACCCCAAUAAGAGUGUUAAGUCACCCGCAGUCUCUCCUUCUCGUUUGCCACUAACCUCCCUCCCAGUCCCGCUCCCCAGGCUGUUGUAAUCAUGUCUCUACCUUUCCCAGACCUUCUCCAGCAGCUCCGUCCACCCCCGACCCCUGGCUGCCUGGUCACCACCAGAUCCGUAGUCUUGAGGCAGCAUAGGCGUUUGUUACGCCUUUGCAGAGACCUCAACCCCAAAGAGAUGAACAACGCCAUUAAAAAAGGAGCCAAGGACUUGAAUGGACAUUUCUCCAGAGAAGAUAUGCCGGUGGCCAGCGAGCACGGGAAAAGAUGGAAACACAAAUCACAGCCCCGAGGUAGCCCUUCUUAAUACCUGCUAGGGUGGCUUUCAUCAACAACAGCAACAACAAACAAGUGUUGCCGAGGAUGUGGAGAAAUGGGAGCCCUUGUGCAUUGCUGGUGUGAACAUAAAAUUGUGCAGCCAUUGUGAAAGACAGUUCCGUGAAAUAUGAAAUUACCGUAUGGCCCAGCAAUGAAUUCACUCUUAGCAUGUGAUGUGUGUGUGUGUGUGUGUGUGUGUGUGUACACACACACGCGAUGGAAUGUAUAUGUACAUAAAAUGGAAUAUAGUGGAAUAAUAGUCCAUUACCUAUCUGUGCACACACACACACAUGCAAUGGACUGUUAUUCAGCCAUGAGAAGGAAUGAGCUACUGCCCUGCGCCAACACGGACAAACCUCGGAAACAUUAUGGUUGGUAAAAGAAGCCAGACAUAAAGGGUCACCUAUGAUUCCACCUAAACACCCAGAGUAGGUAAAUCCAUAAAGACAAAAUGCAAAUUGGUGGUUGCUGGGGGCGGGGGGCCAGGGCGAGUACCCACUUUGUGGGUACGAGGUUUUAUUUGGGGGGUGGAAAUGUUGAGCAGCUAGAGGUGAUGAUUGUACAACGUUGUGAAUGUACAAAGCAACACCAAAUUGUAGACUUUAAAAUGAUUGGUUCAGUUCGAUGUGAAUUGCACCUCAAUUAAAAGCAACAAACGUGGUGGCACGGCGGGUCCCCUUAGGUAAAAAGAGGGAACGUGGGGCACUCACUUCCUACCGGAUACCGUGCCUGACCCUUGAUCCCACUGAAUUCUAUUCAGAAGGGAUGGGCUGUUAUUCCCACUUUGCAGAUGAGAAAGUAGAGGCACACUAGAGCACUCCGUUUAUGGUGGCUCAGGGUUUCUCUGAGUCUGACCUGCCCUUGAUCACUUUCCAGCAUUCCUUCUCAGCAACACAGAGGCUUUUGUUUCAUGUUGUAGGCUUUUGUUGUGGAUUCUUGACUCGUGUUGGGAACUGGACUCAGCCCCAUGGACGGGUGGCACUGACCUUGAGAAGCUCGGUUCUGGGUGCAUUAGUGAGAUGCCUGCCCUUUGCCUCCCACACAGCCGGGUCCUUUGAGGCCACCCACCUACAGGGAUCUUGUUCUAACAGGGCCCUCACAUCCCUCACAGGGAGGCAAACAUUUGUAGCUGAAAGAGGAGAGAAGCCCAGGGUUCAAGUCACCCUUCUUCCUUGUGAUCGGGGUUGAGUCUCUUAAACCCUCGGGACUUCAGUGCAGUGGGAGAGCGUGGGACACCCACCCCCAUCUUUCCUGGGUCAUUGUGGGGAUUGAAUGCCCUCUCAGGGCAAGAGCUCUGAGAAUGAAAAAACACCACAUGCGCAUGAGUGAUGGAAAUGGUCCCUCCUGGAGUCAAGUUCAACUCCAAAAUCUAGCACAGGAGCGCUGUGGCUGGUGCUCAGCCAUGGUUUGCUGCACGAACAAGUCAAUGAACCAGCAGUAGGCGGUCAGGGACCUCCGUGGUGGGCUCGGUCCAGGAGGUGGGCUUGCAAUCAUCCUUCAUACGCGUGCAGCCCGGGACUGAGCUCACAGUAGGUUGUCAGGAAAUGGUCGUGGAUUGGUACGUUUUUUACAAGUCACAGGUUUGUGGCAAUCCUGCCAUUUUCCCAACAGCAUUUGCUCACUUCAUGUCUCUGUGUCACAUGUUGGGAAUUCUCACACUGUUGCAGCCGUUUUCAUUGCUGCUGUAUUUGUUACGAUGAUCUGCGAUCUUUGAUAGUUACUAUUGUAAUUUUUGUAUAAUUUUGUCCUUUUAAAUUAAGGGAGGUACUUUUUUUUAAACGUAAUGCUAUUGCACACUUUAUAGAUCACGCUGUGGUGUAAACAUAGCUUUUAUAUGUGCAGGG